rnacentral:rRNA from 1 species
GCCUUACACAUGCAAGUCGAACGGCAGCACGGGAGCAAUCCUGGUGGCGAGUGGCGAACGGGUGAGUAAUAUAUCGGAACGUCGCCCAGUCGGUGGGGGAUAACGUAGCGAAAGCUACGCUAAUACCGCAUACGUCCGUACGGGAGAAAGCGGGGGAUCUUCGGACCUCGCGCCAUUAGAUGAGCCUAGGUCGGAUUAGCUAGUUGGUGAGGUAAUGGCUCACCAAGGCGACGAUCCGUAACUGGUCUGAGAGGAUGAUCAGUCACACUGGAACUGAGACACGGUCCAGACUCCUACGGGGAGGCAGCAGUGGGGAAUAUUGGACAAUGGGCGAAAGCCUGAUCCAGCCAUGCCGCGUGUGUGAAGAAGGUCUUCGGAUUGUAAAGCACUUUAAGUUGGGAGGAAGGGUAGUAACCUAAUACGUUGCUACUUUGACGUUACCGACAGAAUAAGCACCGGCUAACUUCGUG